UUAUGUUAUUUCCAGUAGGUCUAGA
rnacentral:piRNA from 1 species